GGAAAAAUCAGGAGGGCAGUAGUCAUAAUGCAGGCAGGAGCUCAUUGCCAUUUUGAAUGGGCAUAGACUGUCCUAGUAGGACACCAAUUCUAGCCAAAGUUGCCCACGGGAACCACCCACCACUGCUUGCUUCGCUUGAAAGAAAACAAGGGCUGGGAGACAGCUGCCUCUGAUUUUACUUCUUGCCUUAGGAAGGUUCCAGCUAAUUUUGUGUAACAUAGUUGUGCCGGCUCUUCCAUGAAAAUUUUGUCUUUUUCUUUGUAGAAUCCUCAGUCCUUCAGAAAUAUUAAUUUCUAAACUGACUGUUCUGCUUAUACUUUCCCCUCUUUUUUGGUUAUUUAAUUCCUGUUAUAACACUCAAGGGCUGCUACUGGUCUUACAUUUAAUUUACUGCAUUUUAUUUUAUGAGAUUUCUGUGGCUUCUUGUUACAGGACUUUGUAUGAGAUUUUGUGGAGAGGUCCUGGUUAACUUUAAAGAACUCCUUGGGUUAGUUGGCUGAGAAUCAUUGGCUUUGGUUGGCUGCUGAGACUUGUGGGAGGACCAUUUGAAAGCGCCUACUUCUCCAAGGUACAAGCAGAACCACUUGCUAUCAGGACAAGCAAGCAUGCUGUUCUCCUAGAACACGCUGCACUUGACUUGAUGAGGCAGGAAGACUGAGAUGACAGCUAUACUUGAAUUCAUGCCAUUCCCACUGGUCACCAGUGACCACACCCUCCUAGGGUCUUGCUCUGUCACCCAGGCUGGAAUGCAAUGGCC
rnacentral:lncRNA from 1 species